rnacentral:lncRNA from 1 species
UAUCAUGUUCACCAGUAGUGAGUGCUCUUGACUGGCCAAAUUGCAGUCUUUGUUAGUUUAUAAUGGGGAUUGCUGCUCUUUGACCCUGCAAUUCAUGCAUUAGAUCCCUAAAAUCAACCACUCUUCUAGAGAAUUCUACUUGGAUCAUUUCUGUUCCACAUAUUGGAUCCAUACUCUUAGAAAACUCUUUCUGUCUUUAUUGGACAAGGAAACAUUGGUCUGGAAUAUCUAAAUGAUAAUUUUGUAUUCUUUAUGCUUUGAUAGAUUUGGAAGUGCUGCUCUUCUGCUGUGAUGUUUAGACUCUUGAAUUUAAUUAAACACGACAACUGAAUGUAAAUUGAAAAAGGUUUAUGUAGAGUAUUUUACUCUCAUCCAGUUCACACUGCUUAUAAUAUAUUUUUAAAUAUUGAUUUUAUUAUAGGAUAAACAUGAAAAUUGCUUAGUACAGAUAGUGUAUCUGUUUACUUGCUGAAAAAUGAGAUUAUAAAAUUAGAUAAUUAUUCUUUAAGUCGACUUGAAUGACAUUCUAUUUUUUAAUGUGUUCCAUAUAUGUUACCUAAUAGUAAAUAUGUAGCCUAUAUUUCAGACCGAUACUUAGUUCCUACCUGUAGGUAGAAGACCUUGCAGACUUUGAGUCACAGUUGACUGCUUCCUCAUGCUCCCUGUCUCGGCUUCAGAACCUAACCUUCUCACCUCUGCAGGGGUAAAACCACAGUGGAACGCCCCAGGAUACAGCUCUGUGCUUUAACUACGCAGAGACACAUGUGACCACUUUUACACAGGUUACCUAAAACAUCAUACCUAUAUGAUUUUACUUCAGUGUCUUGCAUGCUGUUCAGCUACAAAGUCUCUCUGCCUGACCCAUUGCAAGGAAGUAGAAAAAAAAUCAAACAUGAUUGUUCCAUCAAUGAAUUGACUUCACAGCAUGUCACUGGGGUUAUUCCAUCAUUUAUUUGUGACUUUCUUAUUACUCUCUUGGUAUAGCUUUCAUGUUCUGACCUGAUUUCAAAUGCAUGACCUAUAGAAUGUUAUCGGAUGGAUUAUAAAAGUAAGAUACAGUAGAAAAUACUUUGAAAUCAGAUUUCAAAUAAAAAUCACUCCCUGCUUUAACAAUUUAAUCUCACCCAAAUUUAGUGGGAGGAAUAUUUUAUGUAUAAACAUUAAAAUCACAGCAAGAGAGAACCGUUUUAUUUCCAACUUUGAUUUCAGAGUAGAAAAUUAAGGCUCACCAUUUGCUGCUUUCGUACAUAUCUAAGAAUGUAAGAGCAGAGCCAAUGGACCCAACUUCCAAGUCUAGAUUCUGAAUAAUUUCGAAAUGAUUUAGCUACAAUAAUGGCACUUUGUUUUUAUAAGAAAUUCAAGAACUCAGACAUGUGUAUUCAUAUUUAAAAGCAUCAAUUUAAUGUUAUUAAGCUAUGCUACCAGUGAAAAACGUAUUUGAAAUGUUUCAUUUAAUCCCAUAAGUGAUACCUCUCAUGGACAAAAGUAGGUUUCUGAUUCUACGUAGAGUUCUCUCCCCUUGUAGUGUUCAGUGAAAAUAAGUGACCUUACAGCUUUAUUUCACUAUGCUACAGACACUUAAUGAACCAUAAUGUGGGCUGCUUUACCUAACAUUUCUAAAACAUAGGCAAAACCUCUUUCUCUGAUAUCAAGUGAUGUCUGUUAACUGUAGCAUAAUCUUUGAAGGACUGAGUAAGGGAGCCACCCUAAGACUCUUGCCUUAUUUUAUAAUCCAGUUCAUAGUUUGACUUUCUCUGUCAUUGUUGAAAUGUUUGUACUCUCUGUUGUCCAUUGUGCAAUGAGGAAAGCAAAGUGUUAUGCUGAAAGAGUCACACCCCAGAGACAACGACACUAAGGAAAAAGAAAAUAAUCAACAACAAAACAACAACAACAAAAAUCCCUGAUGCUUCAGUUUUCUGUGCACAUGAAGUUAUUGUUAACAGUUU